rnacentral:rRNA from 1 species
GCACUCGUAUUCCGUCGAGAGAGGUGAAAUUCUCAGACCAACGGAAGACGAACCACUGCGAAAGCAUUUGCCAGGGAUGUUUUCACUGAUCAAGAACGAAAGUUAGGGGAUCGAAGACGAUCAGAUACCGUCGUAGUCUUAACCAUAAACCAUGCCGACUAGGGAUUGGAGGAUGUUCCAUCUGUGACUCCUUCAGCACCUUUCGGGAAACUAAAGUCUUUGGGUUCCGGGGGGAGUAUGGUCGCAAGGCUGAAACUUAAAGGAAUUGACGGAAGGGCACCACCAGGAGUGGAGCCUGCGGCUUAAUUUGACUCAACACGAGGAAACUUACCAGGUCCAGACAUUGUGAGGAUUGACAGAUUGAGAGCUCUU